GGGCUCGUAGCUCAGCUGGUAGAGCACACCGCUGAUAACGGUGAGGUCACAAGUUCAAGUCUUGUCGGGCCCAUCA
rnacentral:tRNA from 1 species